CUUUCGGAUCUUCUUCUCUGACAAGUUUACAGUACAAUAUUUUCUUUGUUUUUUUUUCUUUUUAUGAGGCACAAAGCGAGAAGAAACGCGGAGAGGAAGGUAUGCGUGUCGAGAGAACAGAUGCCUCGAAAA
rnacentral:pre_miRNA from 1 species